rnacentral:lncRNA from 1 species
GUUCAGUUGAGCAAAAAGUUCAAAAUGGCCCAGAUUGUAGGGGCUCAGAAAAUGACAGAGGGUCUUAGGAAAUGAGACGGGCCUAAAAUAUACUUAACUGCCUACUAUCAGGAGCAUAGGAACAUUUAUGGAAAGUCCAGAUUUGCACUGCUAUGAAAAAGUCCAUGAAUUCUCUUAAUCAAAUGAUAAGCAGAAAAGAUAAAGGUCCUCGUACGUGUGGGUGGCACUACUGCCAGUUUGGUGGUCUGACGGGUUUUUUGGAAAAUGUUACCAUUUGUAAAAUGGGUUUAAAAUAAUAUUUUGACAAGUGAUUUCAUGUCUGCAAAAGGUAUUAAUUAUUUUGGAAUUUCCUCCAGUGUUUAGAUGCUUUGUGUUUUGAACACACUGAUUGAUUAAUCUACAGCUGCUUCUGGGUGCUCAGCAAUUUUCACGGGUCUUGUUGCUAUGAGACGAGGACUUCUCUGAAAUCGCCAAUGUGACAGGCAUCAUGAAGAGGCGGUGAGUUCUGCCUGUUAGCCACAGUGCCACCAAGCGGUCAUUCUUCAAAACAGUUCGACAAAGUCGAUUUGCGUUUCCACUGUUCUCUAAUUACAGCACGGUCAGGUCGUCUCUCAGAUAAAUUAUUAGCAGGUUAACUGAACAGUGGGGUAUUGUUUACUCUCUUCAUAUUCUUCUGCACACAGUGAGGAUUUUUUCCUCCAAUGAAUGAAUCAUGCCAUGGCAAGCAGGAUGGAAAAAAGAAUGGUGGACUGGUUGGCAGAAGCAAAACUGCAGGUGAAACGCAAACUCUCGCCUCCAGCUCACGUGCUGCGAAGCCUCCUUUCAUCACUGCCUCCAGCUCCUUUACCCCAGUGAGUGUGUCUGCUGAUUUCUCCAGCCGACCAUUUGGAAGCAGAGGGUCUCAAUGCUCAGAAAUGGGCCAAGGAAACCCGGGGAGUUCCGGAGUCUAGGUCUCCCCUGAUGAUGGCAUGACUUUCUGACUCUGCCUAAAAUUGCUGCAGCUCUGUUUAUUCAGUCAGUAAACCAAGAAACUGUUCUGGGUACUAAGGAAACAAAGAUAAGUAAGGCCCUUAAAAGGGUAAAUGUAUAAAUAAACUGCCGUAUUAUAAUUAAAUUCCGGAAUAAUUAUAAUUAACUGCUAAAAAGAGACGAGCAGCUAAGUGCCAGAGAAAAAUAGGGACCCAGUCGUGCGUAGGAUUGGAGGAAGAAAAGGAGGUGAGGUUAGAACUGCGGAUUUGGAGGGUGAUAGGACUUCUUCAGGAAGACCAAGGCGUAAAAAAAAAAAAAAAAAAAAAAAUCCAAGGGGGAGAGAGCAUAUGGAAUGAAUUUGGAGGUCAUCU